rnacentral:rRNA from 1 species
UACGAAGGGGGCGAGCGUUGUUCGGAAUUACUGGGCGUAAAGGGCGCGCAGGCGGCUCUGAAAGUCAGAUGUGAAAGCCCCGGGCUUAACCUGGGAACUGCAUUUGAUACUCUAGAGCUUGAGUACGGGAGAGGAGAGUGGAAUUCCCAGUGUAGAGGUGAAAUUCGUAGAUAUUGGGAAGAACACCGGUGGCGAAGGCGGCUCUCUGGGCCGUAACUGACGCUGAGGCGCGAAAGCGUGGGGAGCAAACAGG